rnacentral:rRNA from 1 species
UACGAAGGGUGCUAGCGUUAUUCGGAAUUACUGGGCGUAAAGGGUGCGUAGGCGGUUUUGUAAGUCUUAUGUGAAAUCUACAGGCUCAACUUGUAGUCUGCAUGAGAAACUGCAGGGCUUGAGUAUGGUAGAGGAAGGUGGAAUUCCCGGUGUAGCAGUGAAAUGCGUAGAGAUCGGGAGGAACACCAGUGGCGAAGGCGGCCUCUGGACCAAUACUGACGCUCAUGCACGAAAGCGUGGGGAGCAAACAGG